CAGCCGCCACGGUAAUACGAAGGGUGCAAGCGUUACUCGGAAUUACUGGGCGUAAAGCGUGCGUAGGUGGUGGUUUAAGUCCGUUGUGAAAGCCCUGGGCUCAACCUGGGAAUUGCAGUGGAUACUGGGUCACUAGAGUGUGGUAGAGGAUAGUGGAAUUUCCGGUGUAGCAGUGAAAUGCGUAGAGAUCGGAAGGAACAUCUGUGGCGAAGGCGACUAUCUGGGCCAACACUGACACUGAGGCACGAAAGCGUGGGGAGCAAACAGGAUUAGAUACCCCUGUAGUCCCUGUCUCUUAUAA
rnacentral:rRNA from 1 species